rnacentral:lncRNA from 1 species
AACUUAGAUGAUGUUAUCUUUACUACUAGAAUAAGGAGAUAGAGAUUUGAUUUUGGUAGUUAUUACUUAUUAAUGGAGAGCAUGGACUUAGAGGGACAGAAGGUGAAAAUUAGCCCUUUCUAAUUCCAAAAAAUAAAUCCUGCUAUGAAGGAAGCACAUUAUAGUAUUUGGAUUGGGAAAUGGGCAAGUCUGUUCAAGCUGAUUAGUGAAUGAUGUUAUGAAUAUGGUUGCUAAAUAGACAGCCCUUACAAAUAUGACAAACUAGAGGUCUGGUAUAAAAAAUAAGGAUCCAUGUGGGAGAGUUGAGGACCUUGGACUGGUGAAGGGUUGUAAUGAAUGCGGUAGAACAUGUAAUUCUCUUCAGCAAGAGCAGAAGGAAUCCGAGUCUCUGUUCCUCCUUUUUAUGUGUGUGAGUUUUGCGACUAAAUAUGAUAUGGAGCAAGUGAGAUGCAUACACUGUACAAAUUUCAUGAACUGUCAUGACUUGAUGCUUUUCUCUAAGAACAUUAGGAUAUGCAUGAUUUUGCCUAUAUCACCCCUGUAUCUGGAACACAAUAGACGCCGUAUACUUGCAGAACGGAUCAUAUAAACAUGCAAGAUUACUGAUCAAAUUAUAAUAAUUUCAAAAAAUAAUAAUAAUUCUUCGUUCCUCAAAAAUUAAUUAAUUUAAUCAAGAUUUAAGCAAAUUAUUCUCAUAAUCAAUUAUUCUAAAGUAACAUAA